rnacentral:rRNA from 1 species
CCUACGGGGGGCAGCAGUGGGGAAUAUUGCGCAAUGGGCGAAAGCCUGACGCAGCGACGCCGCGUGAGGGACGAAGGCCUUCGGGUUGUAAACCUCUUUCAGCGGGAGCACUGUACCUGCAGAAGAAGCACCGGCUAACUACGUGCCAGCAGCCGCGGUAAUACGUAGGGUGCAAGCGUUGUCCGGAAUUAUUGGGCGUAAAGAGCUCGUAGGCGGUUUGUCACGUCGGAUGUGAAACCCUGAGGCUCAACCUCAGGCCUGCAUUCGAUACGGGCAGACUAGAAUUCGGCAGGGGAGACUGGAAUUCCUGGUGUAGCGGUGAAAUGCGCAGAUAUCAGGAGGAACACCGGUGGCGAAGGCGGGUCUCUGGGCGAAUUGACGCUGAGGAGCGAAAGCGUGGGGAGCAAACAGGAUUAGAUACCCUUGUAGUC